rnacentral:rRNA from 1 species
CCUACGGGGGGCAGCAGUGGGGAAUAUUGGACAAUGGGCGAAAGCCUGAUCCAGCCAUGCCGCGUGUGUGAAGAAGGCCUUCGGGUUGUAAAGCACUUUCAGUGGGGAAGAAAGCCUUGGGGCUAAUACCCUCGAGGAAGGACAUCACCCACAGAAGAAGCACCGGCUAACUCCGUGCCAGCAGCCGCGGUAAUACGGAGGGUGCGAGCGUUAAUCGGAAUUACUGGGCGUAAAGCGCGCGUAGGCGGUCUGAUAAGCCGGUUGUGAAAGCCCCGGGCUCAACCUGGGAACGGCAUCCGGAACUGUCAGGCUAGAGUGCAGGAGAGGAAGGUAGAAUUCCCGGUGUAGCGGUGAAAUGCGUAGAGAUCGGGAGGAAUACCAGUGGCGAAGGCGGCCCUCUGGACUGACACUGACGCUGAGGUGCGAAAGCGUGGGUAGCAAACAGGAUUAGAUACCCGAGUAGUC